GGUGUGAGGUCCCUCGUGGCCUCGGGAUGGCUGCAAUGUGAUUGUGAGAGCCGGGAUGAAGUCAGCACUGACAAAGUGAGGGGAUUGAUGGAUGGACAAAGCAGGGAACUGGAUAAGCCUCUGGAAGGACUCAUGUCCUCCAUCCCUGCCUACAGCAAGCCUUUGCCAAGGGCCCUCUGCUCUUGGGGUACAGGUGAAUCAUUCUGAACAGUGUGAUAAGUUCUAUACACAAAGUUCGAAGCCCAGCUUGCACAUUGAGAUUUUGAGAAACCUGUAAAAAGGAUACCAAUGGUCAGGGAGUACCUCAGACCAACUCAAUCAGAUUUCUGGUGAUUGGCAUGGGGAUUGGGAUUGUAUGGAAAUGUUCUCCAGGUGACAUUAAUGCCAGCUGGCCAAGAAGUGGAGCCACUGUUUAUUCUCCCAGUGGCUCUGUGUACACACUCUGCCCGUGGAGUUGCCUGGGAUGAGCUGUGAGUCCUCUGAGAACUGCUUCCUGUUUGGUCUGGUAACUCCUAAGCCUGCCUUUCUUUCCUACAGUCUGUAUUUGUGGAAAUCUGCAGUAUUUGAAGUUUGAAGGAGAUCAAUUUUUCAUCCUUUCCUUCGUGGGAUAAAGAAUAUUUCAACCACCUCUGGAGACCAAAGAGUUCUGAGAAGUUUUGAAAUAGCUUGGGAAAUACACCACGUGCUUCACACUUCAUUUUUCUCCUCUCUUUUUCAUUGUUUCACUUAAUUAAAAUAUUGUAAUGCAAGAAGGAGAGAUGAGGCAUACGUUUAGAGAAGGGAAAGGAAAUGGGUUCAUGUUUAAACUGACUCUGAGCAAGCAUGGCAAUGGUAGUUUGAAAGAAUUGAGCAUGUAGGAAAGUAAACUCAAAAUGUUCUUCCUGCCUGAGAAGUGAUUAAAAUACCUGUGAGCUCCAA